AUUGUAGGGUGGAUUAAAAGGUUUUCAUUUAUUUUCUAACCCAUGAUUAUUUUAGAUUUCGGAUUUUGAAUAAUAGGUCCUCCAGCGACCCGGCUUUGUAGUUUUAUUCGCUGUUUCUGUGUUGAAUUUGAUUGCAUCGUGUUUUUGUAGUGCUUUUCCACAACCACCGGUUUAUUAAAUUCAGGUAAGUUAUGAUUGUGGUGUUUUAUUUAUCAAAUAGUUAACUUUAAGUUAAUUCAAAUAGUUUAAUAUUUUUGUCCUUUAUCAGUACCUAAGCAAAAUUUUUCAUAGAUUUUACUUGAAAUUACGAUGCACUAAAUUAUUUGUCGUUUCAAUUUUUCUCCAGGCAAAUAUUUAGCGAAAUUCUUUCCUACAAGAAUUAAUUUUAAAAUAUAAUCUGCACAAAACUUCUACCAUGACAGCUAGUCACAACAAAAAAAACUUUUGUGGAUACAUUUAACAGAAGAAUUCAAUUCAAUUGAAUCAAAUGCAAAGCGUGAGGCCCAGUUCAAGAAGUGCUGUGAUAAUUUAAAAACAUGGAGGAAGUGCUUUUUAGCUAAUGAAAAGCGUCAGAGAAUGAAGACUGGUGGCGGACAGUGUAUUUCAAAUGAGCCACAGCCUGGUAGCAGCAAUGAGACCCUUAUUUUUGCUGAGGUUCUAAUGGAUCAGACUGAUGUGGAACUCAGGGGUGUCAUUGACAGUGAUACCAUUUACAGUUCCGAAGGUAAGUGGAUCUUAACAAUUUGAGAUAGGCGCUUCAAUCUCACAUGCUCUCUCACAAAAAACAGUAAGAAUGUGGUGGCAUGAUAUUGCAAUGGAGUUUGAAACAUCAGUUCCAGCAGCAUGGGACCACAACAGAAUGAUGAAAUUCCGAGUGUAAGCUGUGCAAGAUCAUCAGCUGAAGAAUGAAAUGUUGCAGAUACCACGCCUAUUCUUGACACUCUAUCAUGUCGUGACACUCCACCACGUCGUUCUGGGUCCCGGUAGACUGGCUGUGGUGCAGCCUCCUUAGGAGGAGGGAAUGUGCGCACCAGGGUAAUACAGGAAGAAUUUAAGUUUAGAAAAGAAUCUUAUGAAAAGAAAGAGAGAAGAGAAGAUGAACUCUUUCAAUUACAAAAAAAGGAAAGAGAGUGGAUGCUGAUGGCAGCAGAAAAAGUCUAUCUAAAAGCAAAGGCUGAGAGGGAAGCUACAGAGGAUCUUAAAAAAUAUAAUCGGGCUAAAAGAGACUGUAGUGAAAAAUAAUUUAAAUAAAUAAAAUCAUAAUCACUGGUUGCGCUGGUUUAAAACUUCGUUUUAGGUUUCGAAAAAUAGCAACAUUUUAAUUUGGUUUUGCAAAUCCUGUCCUAUCCCUCUCCGGCACUUUACCUACGGACGCGUGCGAGCGAGAUCGUGUGGUGACAUCGAGACAAAAAAUAUGGCUGAACAACCGCGCGCGCGCUUCGUAUCUUUGUUAUGUUAAAUACGUAAAUAAGUGAAAUCGUUGGUGUUUCUCAUCGCGAAGUGGUACGAGUCUGCAGUAAGGACUACAUAAAAGUAUUGUGCAUCCUUCCUUUAACGCAGAACUGCCGCUUCUUAUCGUUUCUUCCCGCAGUCUGUGUCCUUCAUUUGCAACGACCAAAUUUCAAAUAUUUUCGUAAUUUGCUUAUCUCGCGUCUACAUUUUUUGGUCCAAACGAGCCGGAUUCGUAUUAAAUCAGCGCCAACCAUUGCCUAGGUUUACCUAA